rnacentral:rRNA from 1 species
AGUGGGGAAUAUUGGACAAUGGGCGCAAGCCUGAUCCAGCCAUGCCGCGUGGGUGAUGAAGGCCCUAGGGUUGUAAAGCCCUUUCAGCGGGGAAGAUAAUGACGGUACCCGCAGAAGAAGCCCCGGCUAACUUCGUGCCAGCAGCCGCGGUAAUACGAAGGGGGCUAGCGUUGCUCGGAAUUACUGGGCGUAAAGCGCACGUAGGCGGAUUGUUAAGUCGGGGGUGAAAUCCUGGAGCUCAACUCCAGAACUGCCUUCGAUACUGGCGAUCUCGAGUCCGGGAGAGGUGAGUGGAACUGCGAGUGUAGAGGUGAAAUUCGUAGAUAUUCGCAAGAACACCAGUGGCGAAGGCGGCUCACUGGCCCGGUACUGACGCUGAGGUGCGAAAGCGUGGGGAGCAAA